rnacentral:rRNA from 2 species
CAUGCAAGUCGAACGAACUCUGGUAUUGAUUGGUGCUUGCAUCAUGAUUUACAUUUGAGUGAGUGGCGAACUGGUGAGUAACACGUGGGAAACCUGCCCAGAAGCGGGGGAUAACACCUGGAAACAGAUGCUAAUACCGCAUAACAACUUGGACCGCAUGGUCCGAGUUUGAAAGAUGGCUUCGGCUAUCACUUUUGGAUGGUCCCGCGGCGUAUUAGCUAGAUGGUGGGGUAACGGCUCACCAUGGCAAUGAUACGUAGCCGACCUGAGAGGGUAAUCGGCCACAUUGGGACUGAGACACGGCCCAAACUCCUACGGGAGGCAGCAGUAGGGAAUCUUCCACAAUGGACGAAAGUCUGAUGGAGCAACGCCGCGUGAGUGAAGAAGGGUUUCGGCUCGUAAAACUCUGUUGUUAAAGAAGAACAUAUCUGAGAGUAACUGUUCAGGUAUUGACGGUAUUUAACCAGAAAGCCACGGCUAACUACGUGCCAGCAGCCGCGGUAAUACGUAGGUGGCAAGCGUUGUCCGGAUUUAUUGGGCGUAAAGCGAGCGCAGGCGGUUUUUUAAGUCUGAUGUGAAAGCCUUCGGCUCAACCGAAGAAGUGCAUCGGAAACUGGGAAACUUGAGUGCAGAAGAGGACAGUGGAACUCCAUGUGUAGCGGUGAAAUGCGUAGAUAUAUGGAAGAACACCAGUGGCGAAGGCGGCUGUCUGGUCUGUAACUGACGCUGAGGCUCGAAAGUAUGGGUAGCAAACAGGAUUAGAUACCCUGGUAGUCCAUACCGUAAACGAUGAAUGCUAAGUGUUGGAGGGUUUCCGCCCUUCAGUGCUGCAGCUAACGCAUUAAGCAUUCCGCCUGGGGAGUACGGCCGCAAGGCUGAAACUCAAAGGAAUUGACGGGGGCCCGCACAAGCGGUGGAGCAUGUGGUUUAAUUCGAAGCUACGCGAAGAACCUUACCAGGUCUUGACAUACUAUGCAAAUCUAAGAGAUUAGACGUUCCCUUCGGGGACAUGGAUACAGGUGGUGCAUGGUUGUCGUCAGCUCGUGUCGUGAGAUGUUGGGUUAAGUCCCGCAACGAGCGCAACCCUUAUUAUCAGUUGCCAGCAUUAAGUUGGGCACUCUGGUGAGACUGCCGGUGACAAACCGGAGGAAGGUGGGGAUGACGUCAAAUCAUCAUGCCCCUUAUGACCUGGGCUACACACGUGCUACAAUGGAUGGUACAACGAGUUGCGAACUCGCGAGAGUAAGCUAAUCUCUUAAAGCCAUUCUCAGUUCGGAUUGUAGGCUGCAACUCGCCUACAUGAAGUCGGAAUCGCUAGUAAUCGCGGAUCAGCAUGCCGCGGUGAAUACGUUCCCGGGCCUUGUACACACCGCCCGUCACACCAUGAGAGUUUGUAACACCCAAAGUCGGUGGGGUAACCUUUUAGGAACCAGCCGCCUAAGGUGGGACAGAUGAUUAGGGUGAAGU